GUAAGGGAUAUUGCGCAAUGGGCGAAAGCCUGACGCAGCAACGCCGCGUGAAGGAUGAAGGCCUUCGGGUCGUAAACUUCUUUUGACGCUGACGAGGAAGGACGGUAGGCGUCGAAUAAGCCACGGCUAACUACGUGCCAGCAGCCGCGGUAAAACGUAGGUGGCGAGCGUUAUCCGGAUUUACUGGGCGUAAAGCGUGUGCAGGCGGCCGGUCAAGUGGUGUAUGAAAUCGCCAGGCUCAACCUGGCGGGGUUAUGCCAGACUGACCGGCUAGAGGGCGAGAGAGGGGCGUGGAAUUCCGGGUGUAGUGGUGAAAUGCGUAGAGAUCCGGAGGAACCCCAGAGGCGAAGGCGGCGCCCUGGCUCGCCACUGACGCUCAGACACGACAGCAUGGGGAGCGAACGGGAUUAGAAACCCUGGUAGUCC
rnacentral:rRNA from 1 species